UAAAUAGUUGAGCACAUUUAAUCUGAAAGAAGAAAAAAGAAAAAACAUGAGAGUCAAAGUAGCUAGCUAAGCUUAGUAAAAAUGAAGAUACAAGUUUAUUAAGUACAUCUUUACUGAAAAAAAUAAGUGUAUCACAUCUUUAUUGUUGCUUCUCCAUUUGGAUCCUUCAACAAACUAUGGAAUCAGCAACAAAAUGGAUCCACUCUUUGUUGUUUUUCACCUUCACUUUUGCUUCUUUGUAUCUACUAGACACCUUUAUUAUCUCUAGUAGACUAAGUACUGAUUACCAAAAUAUCAAGCUCAAGAAGAAGCCUCAGCUGCCUCUGCAUUUCCGCUCCGAUGGAACCUUUAAAAUCCUGCAGGUUGCAGAUAUGCACUAUGGGAAUGGGAUGCUGACUCGGUGUAGAGAUGUGUUGGAGAGUGAGUUCAAUUGCUGCACCGAUCUCAACACUACUCAGUUCUUGAGGAAAAUAAUUGAGAUUGAGAAGCCAGACUUGAUUGUAUUUACGGGAGAUAACAUAUUUGGAAGAAGUGCUACUGAUGCUGCAGAAUCUAUGUUUGAAGUUUUUGCUCCUGCUAUAGAUUCUGGAAUUCCAUGGGCAGCAGUUUUGGGGAACCAUGAUCAAGAAUCCAUUAUGAAUCGUGAAGAACUGAUGUCCUUCAUAUCCCUGAUGGAUUAUUCAGUUUCACAAACGUUUCCAUCAACUAAAGUUACCUCAGAUCCAGCGGAACAGCAACCCAUGACAGAUAUUGAUGGAUUUGGCAACUACAAUCUUGAAGUAUGGGGUGCACCCGGCUCAUACUUAAGUAACAGCAGCAUUCUUAACCUUUAUUUUAUAGAUAGUGGAGAUAGAGCUAUUGUUGAUGGAGUCCGGACAUAUAAUUGGAUCAGGGAAUCUCAACUAAGUUGGCUUCGUGGUGUUUCCAAAAGAUUUCAGGGACAAUGGAAGUUUGCCGAUCAAUCAGUGGAGAUUCCUCUACUCCCAGUAAUGCAUCCUGCAUUAGCAUUUUUCCACAUCCCAAUUCCAGAAAUUCGUCAAGGUCCUAUAAAAGAUAUUGUUGGCACUUACCGGGAAUAUGUGGCAUGUUCAUCAGUAAACUCCGGAGUCUUGAAGACCUUUAUCUCUAUGGGGGAUGUUAAGGCUGUUUUUAUUGGUCAUGAUCAUAAUAAUGAUUAUUGUGGGAAUAUAAAAGGUAUAUGGUUUUGCUAUGGUGGAGGCUUUGGAUAUCAUGGCUAUGGUGUAGCUGGUUGGCCUAGAAGAGCAAGGGUAAUACAGGCAGAACUUGGGAAGGGAAAGGAAGCGUGGAUUGAUGUGGAGAAGAUCAGGACAUGGAAACGACUUGAUGAUGGUGUACUGACCAAGUUUGAUGAGCAAGUCUUGUGGGACAUUCAUACAUUAAGAUGAAAGUAUCAGGUACAGACUGUUCAUACAUUCAGUAUGGAGGCAUUUUGGAAUCUUGGAGCAAAGGCGAGCAAUUUAUGGAUGUCACAAGGCUUGUGGUUCGGCAUCGAGGAGGCCAAGGAGAAUUCAAAAAGGAAUUUUGGGAAGCUAAAAAAAUUCCAAAAUGAAGUGUUAAAGGAAGGAACAAAGUGUGGAACCCAAAGGCAAACAAAAGAAGUUAACUACUACAAAAAGUGAUGUUUCUAAGAACAAGGGCACACCAUGCCCUCCAAUCUACAAGAUAAGGGUGUGCCAUGCCCUAAGACACAAAAUAACAUGUUAAAAAUUGUGUGCAUCCACGUUAAGGGAGUGACACAUCCUUGAACAUCCGCGAUGAGGGUGUGCCACACCCAAGGGUGAAAAGCUACCAAAAGUGAUUUUUCAGCAUCUUAAUUAAGGGGAAAUGUUAUCAAUAAUAUGUUUCAUGUUGGUAUAUGUAAGUACGACCUAAAACACUAUACAAGGAUCACUCAUUCACAAUUUCAUCCCAUUUUCAAAUCAAUACAUGAAUUGGAGAGAAGAUAAGCAAGUAAGGGGCUCAAACUAGGGUUCUUUGUUCUUAAACAUUACUUUCUUGUAGUUUUACUUCACGAAUUCAUAUAAGGUGAUUCUUUGUAAGAAUACAAGUGGAUAAAACCUCUAAUUGUAGGGUUAGGGCUACAAACAUGAGUGUAUAAUUAUUUUUUGAUUAUUGGCUUAAAUGUUUAUCAAGUGUGUGAUUAUUCUUAC